UAAGGUGAUUAACCUCUCUAGUUUGCUCAGAACUGAGAGGUUCCUGGAAUGCAGGACUUUUGCAACUGAAACUGGGAAAGUCCUGGGCAAACUGGGAUGAGUUGGUUAGCUUACUCAGCU
rnacentral:miRNA from 1 species